rnacentral:rRNA from 1 species
AACGAACGCUGGCGGCAUGCCUAACACAUGCAAGUCGAACGAGACCGUCGGGUCUAGGGGCGCACGGGUGCGUAACGCGGGGGAACCUGCCCUUAGGUUCGCAAUAACUCCCCGAAAGGGGUGCUAAUACCGGAUAAUGUCUGCGGACCAAAGAUUUAUCGGCUUUGGAUGGGCCCGCGUUGGAUUAGCUGGUUGGUAGGGUAAAAGCCUACCAAGGCUACGAUCCGUAGCUGGUCUGAGAGGAUGAUCAGUCACACUGGGACUGAGACACGGCCCAGACCCCUACGGGAGGCAGCAGUGGGGAAUAUUGGAGCAUGGGCGAAAGCCUGAACCAGCAAUGCCGGGUGAGUGAUGAAGGCGUUAGGGUUGUAAAGCUGUAUUAGCCGGGAUGAUAAUGACAGUACCGGGAGAAUAAGCACCGGCUAACUACGUG